rnacentral:rRNA from 1 species
UCGAGAAUUUUUCUCAAUGGGCGCAAGCCUGAAGGAGCGACGCCGCGUGGGGGAUGAAGGGUUUCGAUCCGUAAACCCCUGUCAUUUGUGAACAAUGGUUAUCAUUUAAAAGAUGAUGACUUGAUAGUAAUGAAAGAGGAAGGGACGGCUAACUCUGUGCCAGCAGCCGCGGUAAUACAGAGGUCCCGAGCGUUGUUCGGAUUCACUGGGCGUAAAGGGUGCGUAGGUGGCCUAAAAAGUUUGAUGUGAAAGCUCAGGGCUUAACCCUGAAAUGGCAUUGAAUACUGUUGGGCUGGAGGUUUGGAGGGGGGACUGGAAUUCUUGGUGUAGCAGUGAAAUGCGUAGAUAUCAAGAGGAACACCAGUGGCGAAGGCGAGUCCCUGGACAACACCUGACACUGAGGCACGAAAGCUAGGGGAGCAAAC